GAAUUGGACAAUGUCAUUCAAUCAGUUAUUGAAGCAUCCAAGGUAGCAGAUCAGAAAUUUGAGUCUAGAUUUGAAUGUUUGGAAGAUAAUUUACAGUACAGGGCUGACAGAUUACAUAGGUCCAUACGGUCGAUUGCUGAGGACUCAAAAUCAGCAAAUCAUGACCUGGAAUCUAGACUCCAAUACCUAGAAGGCAGUUUCCAUGCCAUCCAGAUGCUGUCUAAGGAUGAUCUAUAAAAGACCUAGAAAAACAUGUAGAUGAGCAGUUAGAGCAAUUUACAGAUUCACUAGCGUGCUUGGAAUCUUUUAUGAUUAAGGAGAUUGAAACUUUUCAAAAGGAUAUCAUUGCUAGGCUUAAAGAUCAGUGGGAUGCCUCAGAAGCAGAAUCACUCCAAUCCCAGGCACCUACUCCACCCAGGUAUCGUGACUAUUCUUCUAAGGUUGUUACUCGUACACCAUUAGUGAACCCAGCUACCAUGGUAGAAAAGCCAGCUUCUAAGAAACACCCUCAUGGACGAAUGGUUUUUGAAUGGCAACCUAUACAGCCAAAGGAUCUUAAGAAUAUUAGAGAAUCAGUUGUCUCAUAUGGUCUCCAUAGCCCAUACGUAAAACAGCUAUUACAUUCAUGGGCAACCUUUAACAGGGUGACACCCACAGAUUGGGAACGAUUGGUAGCAGCUGUACUUGAGAAUUCAUGCCAAAUCCAGUGGAAGGCAUUGGUAAGGGAAGAGGCAAAGCUCCUUGAGCAUCAGGGCAUAAAGGAAGGUUUUGAAGCCCCUCUAGAUAAGCUUCUUGGUCAGGGUAUUUAUGCUGACCCACAGGUUCAGGCUGAAUAUGAUGACGAUAUACUGUCUCUAUGCAGGAAAGCAGCAUUAAAUGCCUGGGAUAAGGUUCGUGAGCCAGGAGAACACCUAGAAGCUUAUACCAGAAUAGAACAGGGACCUACAGAACAGUUCCAGGACUUCUUACAAAGGUUAACUAGGGCAGUAGAAUUACAGGUAACAGAUCCAGAAACAAGACAAUCAAUU
rnacentral:lncRNA from 1 species